rnacentral:pre_miRNA from 1 species
GGGGGUCCCCGGUGCCCGGACCUGGAGGGUGCUUGCUGUUCGGUCCGAGCCUGGGUCUCCCUCU